rnacentral:rRNA from 1 species
GAUGAACGCUGGCGGCGUGCCUAAUACAUGCAAGUCGAGCGAACGGACGAGAAGCUUGCUUCUCUGAUGUUAGCGGCGGACGGGUGAGUAACACGUGGAUAACCUACCUAUAAGACUGGGAUAACUUCGGGAAACCGGAGCUAAUACCGGAUAAUAUUUUGAACCGCAUGGUUCAAAAGUGAAAGACGGUCUUGCUGUCACUUAUAGAUGGAUCCGCGCUGCAUUAGCUAGUUGGUAAGGUAACGGCUUACCAAGGCAACGAUGCAUAGCCGACCUGAGAGGGUGAUCGGCCACACUGGAACUGAGACACGGUCCAGACUCCUACGGGAGGCAGCAGUAGGGAAUCUUCCGCAAUGGGCGAAAGCCUGACGGAGCAACGCCGCGUGAGUGAUGAAGGUCUUCGUAUCGUAAAACUCUGUUAUUAGGGAAGAACAUAUUUGUAAGUAACUGUGCACAUCUUGACGGUACCUAAUCAGAAAGCCACGGCUAACUACGUG